GGCGAACGCUGGCGGCGCGCUUAACACAUGCAAGUCGAACGGAAAGGCCUGCUUUCCCUUGUGGAUUGCGGGUACUCGAGUGGCGAACGGGUGAGUAACACGUGAGUGGUCUGCCCCCAACUUGGGUAUAAGCCUGGGAAACUGGGUCUAAUUCCCGAUAGGACUGCAGGGUGGUGCCUGUGGUGGAAAACGAUUUUCUAGUGGUUGGGGAUGAGCUCGCGGCCUAUCAGCUUGUUGGUGGGGUAAUGGCCUACCAAGGCGGCGACGGGUAGCCGGCCUGAGAGGGUGGACGGCCACAUUGGGACUGAGAUACGGCCCAGACUCCUACGGGAGGCAGCAGUGGGGAAUAUUGCACAAUGGGCGGAAGCCUGAUGCAGCGACGCCGCGUGGGGGAUGACGGCCUUCGGGUUGUAAACUCCUUUCGACCGCGAGGAAGCCACCUGGUUGGAAGGGUGGUGACGGUAGUGGUAGAAGAAGCACCGGCUAACUACGUG
rnacentral:rRNA from 1 species